UAGAUGGAUGUUUAAGUCAGUUGUGAAAGUUUGCGGCUCAACCGUAAAAUUGCAGUUGAUACUGGAUAUCUUGAGUGCAGUUGAGGCAGGCGGAAUUCGUGGUGUAGCGGUGAAAUGCUUAGAUAUCACGAAGAACUCCGAUUGCGAAGGCAGCGUGAUAAGCUGCAACUGACAUUGAGGCUCGAAAGUGUGGGUAUCAAACAGGAUUAGAUACCCUGGUAGUCCACACGGUAAACGAUGAAUACUCGCUGUCUGCGAUAUACAGCAAGCGGCCAAGCGAAAGCGUUAAGUAUUCCACCUGGGGAGUACGCCGGCAACGGUGAAACUCAAAGGAAUUGACGGGGGCCCGCACAAGCGGAGGAACAUGUGGUUUAAUUCGAUGAUACGCGAGGAACCUUACCCGGGCUUAAAUUGCAGAUGAAUUACGGUGAAAGCCGUAAGCCGCAAGGCAUCUGUGAAGGUGCUGCAUGGUUGUCGUCAGCUCGUGCCGUGAGGUGUCGGCUUAAGUGCCAUAACGAGCGCAACCCUUGUUGUCAGUUAAUAACAGGUUCCGCUGAGGACUCUGACAAGACUGCCAUCGUAAGAUGUGAGGAAGGUGGGGAUGACGUCAAAUCAGCACGGCCCUUACGUCCGGGGCUACACACGUGUUACAAUGGGGGGUACAGAGGGCCGCUACCACGCGAGUGGAUGCCAAUCCCCAAAACCUCUAUCAGUUCGGACUGGAGUCUGCAACCCGACUCCACGAAGCUGGAUUCGUUAGUAAUCGCGCAUCAUCCACGGCGCGGUGAAUACGUUCCCGGGCCUUGUACACACCGCCCGUCAAGCCAUGGGAGCCGGGGGUACCUGAAGGGAGUAACCGCGAGGAGCGCCCUAGG
rnacentral:rRNA from 1 species